GAUGAACACUAGCUACAGGCUUAACACAUGCAAGUCGAGCGAGCGGCGGACGGGUGAGUAAUGUCUGGGAAACUGCCUGAUGGAGGGGGAGAACUACUGGAAACGGUAGCUAAUACCGCAUACCAUCAGAUGUGCCCAGAUGGGAUUAGCUGGUAGGUGGGGUAACGGCUCACCUAGGCGAAGAACCCUAACGUGUCUGCGAGGAUGACCAGCCACACGGGAACGUAGACACGGUCCAGACUCCUACGGUAGGCAGCAGUGGUGAAUAUUGCACAAUGGGCGCAAGCCGGAUGCAGCCAUGCCGCGUGUGUGAAGAAGGCCUUCGGGUUGUAAAGCACUUUCAGCGGGGAGGCGUUACCCGCAGAAGAAGCACCGGCUAACUCCGUGCCAGCAGCCGCGGUAAUAC
rnacentral:rRNA from 1 species